GGGCGGUUAGCUCAGUGGGAGAGCGCUACCUUGACACGGUAGAGGUCACUGGUUCGAUCCCAGUAUCGCCCACCA
rnacentral:tRNA from 1 species